rnacentral:lncRNA from 1 species
GGAACAUGAAAUGGAAUUACAACGACUGGAUGAAUCCGAAAUGGAAAGCAGGAAAAAGAAAGGAUUAUGCUUGAAAGUACAAACCAAGCAAUCUAAACCUGAAUCCGAUAGCUACUCAGAUGGAUCCAGCAGUGAAAAAGAAGAGACUGAAAUCGAAUCACUUGUCAAGAAAUUUAAGAAGUUUCUGAAGAAGAAAGAUAACAAAUUCAGAAAACCAUCCAGCUCUAAGACUAGUGACAUCAAGACAGUUACAUGCUACGAAUGUGGUAAGAUUGGUCACACAAAGUCGGAAUGCUACAAACUGAAGAACAAGAAUAGAGCUCACAAAGCCAAAAGAGCAUAUAUUGCAUGGAGUGACAACGAUAACGAUGAGUCCUCUGCCUCUUCGGAUGAAGAAAAAGUGAAUUUAUGUCUCAUGGCUCACACUAAUUCAGAAUCUGACAGUGAGGUUAGUUCGCAAUUUAAUCCAACAUAUGAUGAGCUUCAAGAAGCUUUCAAUGAAUUGCAUGAUGAUUAUGUGAACUCCAUAAAACAGUUGUUAAGCACAAAGAAAAUGCUUGAACAAAUGAAUGUUGAACACAAAGAAAUUGAAAAUUUAUGUGAACAACUGAAAAAGGAUUCACAAGAAAAAUCUGCAAAGUGCAUUGAACUUGAAGAUACUAUUGCAUCAUUAAAAUCUGAUUUAUUAAAUUUUGCAAAUAGUAAAGAUAAGCUGAAUGUCAUGCUUAGCAAUCAAAGACAUGUUUAUGAAAAAUCUGGUUUAGGAUAUACACCAAAUAUGCAUGUCAAAAGAAAAAAUAAAAACAGAUCUGGUAUUGGUUAUAUGCAAACCAGAAAUGUCAAACAUGGUCAAAAAUCUUCUAUUGCUAAGAGUAUGUAUGACACCUUUACUAAACCAAACAAAUAUUCAUCCUUUGAUGGCAAAUGUCAUUUCUGUUGUAGAAAGGGACAUUUUGUGUCUAAUUGCAAAUUUAAAAAAUUAGCCAAUCAAGGAUGGAAGCAAGUUUGGAUAGCAAAAGAAUCUGUGUUUAAGACUGACCCCCCAGGACCCAAUCUGAAUUGGGUACCUAGAUCCAAAAAUUAAUUAUGUUUUUGCAGGUGUACUUGACAUCCACCAAGCAAGAUUGAUAUUUGAAAGUGGAUGCUCAAGACACGUGAAAUGAGACAAGUAUGAGAAUCUUGUCUUUAACAUUAAAUGAAGAUUAAAUGAAGAAAGAUUGGUCAACAUAGUUGUGUUGAUGACAGAGAAAAAGAGUCAAUGGCAGUUAAUCAGAAGUUUUGUUUGGGAUUAAAUCGAUUGAGUAAUCGAUUUCGAGUUUGCUCUUUGUUUGUUUAAAGAAUCGAUUUGGGAAUCGAUUUGGUUAGCCCAGACUUCAGAUUUUGUGGAAAAUAUUUUGUAACAAUCCCGAGCAUCGAUUUGGAAAUCGAUUGAUUAAGUGUUCAGUAUUUGACUUUUGGGACAAUCGAUUUGGACAUCGAUUAAGUAACACGGCAAAUCGAUUUGGGAAUCGAUUAGGAAAAUGACCGUUGCGUACUUUUUUACUAGCCGUUGGACAUCAUAAUUACACAAUCGAUUAAGGAUUCGGUGUAACGGUAAGCAAAUCGAUUGGGCAAUCGAUUGAUAAAGGUAAAAGUAUAAAAACGAACAGGUCUAAAUCGAUUUCUUCACUGUUUCAACCCAGAUUUAUAUUUUCUUUCUCUGCUUCAUCUUCUUCCUCUGUCUCUGCAACUGAUAUCUGCAACUAUAUCUGAACUCUAUCUUCACUCAUCUCCUCUAUUUGCAACCAUGGCCCGCGUGAAACAAACACAAGCCCAUACUCCUUCACCUUCAUCAUCUUCAACCAGUGAAACUCCCUCACCGCCACCUACUGUGUCUAAAAGAAUUCCGAUUCCUACACACAAAAUUCUUGCAAAGGACAAGGGCAAGGCUCCUGCUCCUAUUCCAGAAAAGAUCAAGAAAAGGAAGGAACCACCAAGUGAGAAGUUGUUGGCUGAUGCUAUGAAAGAAAUUGCUCAGAAGAAAAAGAAACCGGUUACUUCACCCCUAGUUAAGAAAACUCCAGCACCUAAAGAGAAGGAUGUGGAAGUUAUCAUUCCAGCAGAGUUUCUUAAACGGAAAAUUCAUGAAGGCAGAACCCUAGACUUUGGUUUCUUUGAUACAGAAGGCUUCACAUUCCAGAAUCAUCUGAGAUUUCAUGGUCUUGAAGGUUUUCUUUCAUCUACUUUGGACAGCUAUCCGAAAUUGAUACGGGAAUUUUAUGCAAAUUUCAAGCUCACUGAUGACGGGUUCAAAACUCAGGUUAAAGGUAAAAAAUUAUCAAUGUCUUUUGAAGACUUUGCUGAGUUGACAGGAUUGCCAUUUCAUGGACAAUCAAUAGACGGCAGUUCUGAUGCGGAUGCAGCCGACGAAGGUUGGGAAGCAUCGCUGGACAGGCACACUGCAGUGAAAGACAUCAUGGUUGAUGGUUUUGUGGAAACCAUCUCUUUGCCAAUUGGUCAGAUGAAGGUACAGCAACGCAUGCUCAUGUAUACAUUAACAAGAAUGCUUGUACCUCGAUCAGGAAAUCAUGCUGUUGUUCAGAAGCUUGAUAUUAUAUUAUUAUGGGGAUUGUCCAAGGAACUUAAGAUGAGUUGGACAUGGAUUGUGCUAAGGCACAUGUUAGAAGCUUCACACAGUAAGAUCAUGUUGCCUUAUCCGCAGUUGGUUACAAAGGUUCUCAAGCACUUCAAGGUAUCGUUGUUGAAUGAAGAAUCUGCAAAGACUACACUUAUCUUCGGCGAAGCGAUUGUGAAUCAGAUGAAACUGAAGAAAGUAGAUAAUGUUUGGAUUAGACCAAUGCCAAAUGUUGAACCAACUCCUCCACAAGCAUCUGAAUCAGCAGCUGAGGCUCCUGCAUUUGUUUCAAAGCUGAUGGAAUUUAUGGCAGCUCAAAUGGAACACAACGCCAAAAUAUUAGAGUCAAAUGCAAGGAUGGAAGCUACCUUGACAUCUAUCCAAACAUCCCUGAAAUCAGUUGUUCAGGAUGUUGCUGCAAUUCAAGCGCAUCUAGGCCUCAAGCUAUCUUUUGAAGACAUAGCGCAUAUUGGUCGACAAGCAACUGAGGAACCACAGCCAGAUCCUCUAGAUCGGUCUGCGACUCACGGUGAGGAGACACCAGCUGAGGAUAAUACAGCGGUCUCUACCUCUCCCCUAGAUGAUAGUGAGAACCAGCCCACUUUAGGAGAUUAGAUGGUCAAGUUUCUUAUUUGUGUUGUCUUAUUUUUGGUUGUCGUGCUGUUUUUUUGCUGUUUUAUGUUUUAUUAAUAUAUAUGUAUGAGCAAAUGUAUUAAUUGUUAUCAUAUAAAUACUGCCAUACUACAUCUGUUGCAUAUUUGUUUUGUUCUGAUCUGAUAUACAAGUUAUAUGAUUUCAUUUCCUAUGCUUAUGUUCUUUAACAUAGGGGGAGGAAUUGUUUUCUGCCUUUUUGCCUUAAUUGACAAAGGGGGAGAAAAAUUAUAACUUGAUAACUUGAUAAUAUGCUUGUUGUUGCAUUAUUAAGGGGGAGCAUCUGAUGUUGUUUGUUUUUGCUCUGAUACUUAAUAAUGUAAUGCUGAUUUGAUACAUUUUGACACAUGCUCUGAUGAUCUGUAUUGGUACAUAUUUAAUGCUAUGAAUUGGUUUCUUUGGUAUGAUUUUGAAAUGGUUUGAUAUGCUCAAGUUACAAUUGUAUGAAUUGUCAAUUAUGCCAAAAAGGGGGAGAUUGUUGGAUUUUGAUCCUUUGAUUCCUAAUUUUGACAUAAUUCACAAUUCAACAAUAUUCAUACUUAAUAUGAUAAAUCUAAUAUUUCAAUUGAGCAAAAUUUCAGGAACACCAAUUCAAUCCUACACACUUGGAUCAAAUAGCUUGGAACACAAGAAAUCAACAAAAGUUGAAUUCUGAAUAUGUAAAUCGAUUGGGAAAUCGAUUUCAUAACAAGGGUGUAAGGAAAUCUUAAGUGUUUGUGAAUGUGCAAUCGAUUAGGCAAUCGAUUAGAUCAAUUAAAAAUGAAAAAUGCACAAGUCAGUAGCCUCUGAUUUGGAGAAAAUCGAUUGGUAAAUCGAUUGAACAUUUCACAAAUCAAACCUGAUGGUAACACAUCGAUUGGUAAAUCGAUUGAAUGAGUCACAGUGGCACUCCAGUGCUGAGGGAAUCGAUUGGCAAAUCGAUUGACAAAGUAUCAUUUGAAAAAUAACCUCACCUGUGACAAAUACAAUCGAUUGGACAAUCUAUUGUUAACACUUUAAUUUUGAUAAAGUUUGGUUGCAAUCGAUUGGCAAAUCGAUUGAACUAAACACCAGGUAAAAACUUUUCAGGAACAUGACACCAAAGCGAUUGACAAGUCGAUUGAUAUCAAAUAGCUGAGCCACUGUUUUGAAAACAAUCGAUUGGCAAAUCGAUUGAUAUUAAAACUGAAUCACUAUUUUGAAUCACAUCGAUUGACAAAUCGAUUGACAUCAAAAACCUGAGCCACUGUUUUGAAAACAAUCGAUUGGCAAAUCGAUUGAAAUAAACUUGUUGAAAACACAGUGAACUCUGAAGUUUGGCAAAUCGAUUGAGUAAUCGAUUGAAAAUAGUUUUAUUAAAACAGUUUCCCAGAAAUCGAUUAGGCAAUCGAUUUAUACAGGUCUGGACAUGUUCUGCUGAAAAGUGUUGUUUUAAAGAAUCGAUUGGUAAAUCGAUUAGCUUGUAUAGUUUCAAGAUUAAAGAAAACCAAGAUCGCGAUAAUCGAUUGGCAAAUCGAUUUAGCUCAUUUUAUAACUUUACAAAAUCGAUUGGGAAAUCGAUUUCGUAGUUGGUUUUUCAGAAACUAUAUAAGAUGUCUUUCAAUCUUUAUUCUCAUAACUUCUAAAAACUUUUACAUAACUUUUACAUAACUUUUUCCUAACUUUCAUAAUUUCUCUUAUGCUCUCAAAAACGGUUCAUGGCAACAAACUAACAACUUCAUAAUUGUGAUUACAGAUCUCAAUACAGUUUGUUGACAAUCUAAGAGAAAUGAUAAUGUGCUCAAGAACAAUCCAUGAAUAUCCAGAUUUGUGAAGAGCAACAUUCAUAAAGAUUGAAGACCCUUUUGUUUUACAAUCUUUAUUCUUUCUGUAAUAAAACUUUGAACGAAAUAGAACGCAAGAAAAGCCAGCUCGAAACUGGUGGCUACUUUCUUGGUUGAGAGGACUCAACAAGAAAGAGUCGCACUUUGAUUCUGUGAUAGGCUGCUGAGUGUCUUCAAGGAUCAGAGGGUAUUCAAUAGGAAAGAUAUAAUUAGAGAUUGAUAGGUUUCAGGGAGGAAACUGGAAAAUCUUUGUAAUUGAUUCUUUCUAUUGAAGGAGAAGAAAAUCUGAAAUCCGAUUGGAUUUUCAGGACUGGACGUAGGUUGUUGUGGAACAACCGAACCAGGAUAAAUCUCUGUGUCUUCUUCUCUAACUCUCUCUCUUUAAUUUUCUAUAUUGCUAACUUUGCAUGCCUCAAAAUUUAAUUUCCGCUGUGCGCUUGAUACAGAUUAAUUUGGUAACGAAAACUGAUAUAUUUUCUUUAUUGCGAGGUCACUGAUACCAACAAUUGGUAUCAGAGCCAACUUCUUGAGAGGUAAAACUUAUAAGAAGAUGGCCUCAACUGACGUUCUGGGAGAAGGCGCUUCGUUAGCACAACCACCAGCUUUCAACGGUACAGCCUACAUGUACUGGAAGCAAAGAAUGCUCAUAUUUCUGGAAGCAAGUGGCAUAGAUAUCCUUGAUGCUGUUGAAAACGGUCCGUACAUUCCCAAGAUUGCAGGAACUGACAACUCAAUGAUUAUCAAGCCUAGAGCCGACUGGUCAGAUGAUGACAAGAAGAAGGUUGGUUUCAAUGCGAAGGCUAAGAACAUCAUCACGUCCGCCCUAUGUGCAGAAGAGUUCUUUAGAGUGUCCAAUUGCAAGUCAGCAAAAGAGAUGUGGGACAUCCUCCAAGAAACUCACGAAGGUACUACUGAUGUUAAGAGAGCUCGUGUGAAUACGCUCAUGCACGAAUAUGAAUUAUUUAGCAUGAAGAAAGAAGAGUCAAUCAGCGAUUUGCAAACCAGAUUCACACACAUAGUCAACAACCUGCAUGCACUAGGAAAAGAUGUGGAUAAUGAACAGCAGAUUGGAAAGAUCAUGAGAUGUUUAACCAGAGAAUGGCAGCCAAAGAUAACAGCCAUAGCUGAGUCUAGAGAUCUUGCAAAGAUGACGACAGCAACACUAUUUGGAAAGUUAAGGGAACAUGAAAUGGAAUUACAACGACUGGAUGAAUCCGAAAUGGAAAGCAGAAAAAAGAAAGGAUUAUGCUUGAAAGUACAAACCAAGCAAUCUAAACCUGAAUCCGAUAGCUACUCAGAUGGAUCCAGCAGUGAAAAAGAAGAGACUGAAAUCGAAUCACUUGUCAAGAAAUUUAAGAAGUUUCUGAAGAAGAAAGAUAACAAACUCAGAAAACCAUCCAGCUCUAAGACUAGUGACAUCAAGACAGUUACAUGCUACGAAUGUGGUAAGAUUGGUCACAUAAAGUCGGAAUGCUACAAACUGCAGAACAAGAAUAGAGCUCACAAAGCCAAAAGAGCAUAUAUUGCAUGGAGUGACAACGAUAACGAUGAGUCCUCUGCCUCUUCGGAUGAAGAAAAAGCGAAUUUAUGUCUCAUGGCUCACACUAAUUCAGAAUCUGACAGUGAGGUUAGUUCGCAAUUUAAUCCAACAUAUGAUGAACUUCAAGAAGCUUUCAAUGAAUUGCAUGAUGAUUAUGUGAACUCCAUAAAAC